AUGAAGAAGGCUGUGCCUAACCAGAUAGUAAAAACAUAUCUUAAUGUUAUUAAAACAGCAGGGGACUGCUACAUAAAGCCAGAUCUAUGGGAAAGGAAGGAAAAUACAGAAUCAUACUUCAGUGUACAGCUCGCACACACGUACUGCAUUAACCCUGUACCAGAUUUUCACAGUGAAGAUUACAGCCGUGGCUUUCACCAAGCUGAAAAACAAGCUUUAACGGGAAGAUCCACACAAGACCCAACUUGAUGAGAAAGGUAAGGUGUUGCUAUGGCAAUUCCACUCGUUGGAACUUUUCUCUGUUGGCUUCAUUCUGACAGUAUAUUCUAAAAAGAAUUAUAUGAAAAGGUGUGGUGGCUGUGAAGACAUACUUGAAGCCAAGAAGACAGAACUCUCUCAUCUUUCUUUCUCCAAAAGAGACCAUGCUGUCAUCUUGGAAUGCCACCGAACGUAGUCAGAGGGCUGGCUGAGGAAGUGUCAUUCUGAGAUUUCAUUGAGCUCUGCGCUGUAUUUCUUUUUGGCUGAAGUGGAAAAUUGGCGAUGCCAGGGUUCUAAGCACAAUUACAACAUGAAGAAGGAUGCUUUGUCUACACCGAAAGACGAUAAGGCCUUGGCUCCUGCAAGAACGACGAUCUGCUUUGUUGUGGUGGGUGGUUGUGUGGCUUUGUUGUACUUUCAGCAGAGGUUUGAGGUAUUAAAAUAUCACUUGAAUCCAGGCAUUCAAAGGGAAUGAAUCCCAGGUCUGAGUGCCUCCGAUGGAGAAGAAGGAUUUAUUAAUUCACUUAAUGCCAUUUCUUUCCAAACAGACCUUCCUCUCGUAGGUUAUAAUCCAUCCAAUUGCUCAUAAAAACAACCUCACUUAGACUCUAAUUGUAGGCAUUGUGUCAAGCAUUUUUUUUCCCUGAUUAAUAUCACAUAAGCUCUUCACAAACAACUCUGUGAGGUAGAUACUAUUAUCAACUGCAUUUUGUACAUGAAUAAGGGGAAUUCAGAGAAAAUAUGGGCUAAGGUUGAUCAUCUGCAAAGGACAAAUAGAAGUUGAACCGAAAAGAUCUUAAUGUGUUAUUAAACGAAACUAACUGUGUCAAAAUUUGAUGGGGGAGAGGAAGCCUAAGAAAUUUACUAAUAAGCAGAAGAAACUGUGUUUUUGCUGUUCCUGUAAAAACAUCCCUUUCCAAGCUACAAAAUACAACCAAUCAGGCAAGACUGAGGAGGUGAUGUAUCAGAGAAUUGUUACCUUAAAAAAGGAUCCAUGUGCAAACUGAAUUCCACAAUAAUCAUCUAUUGAGCUCUGAGCAUAUGCUCUGAGCAUAAAAAGACCUCUAAAACCAGCUCCUACCCCAGAAGAUUUGAUAAAUUAUUGGAAAAACAGAAUUAACAAGUAAAGCAGGGAUUCCUCUAGUUAGAACUGAGCGUUAAGUGCAUGUAGUGAUAAGACAGAGGUUCUAAAUUAGCAGCCUGAUGGCUGAUGUUGGUCUCAGAUACACUUAAUUUGAACCAAAAAAUCUGAGUCUUCCUUUUUUUUUUUUUUUAUUGGCUGCUACGUGGAAGUUUCUGGGACAAGGAUGGAACCCACAUCACAGCUGUAACCAGAGCCGUGGCAGUAACAAUGCCAGAUCCUUAACCCACUGAGCCAUGAGGGAACUCCCGAAUCUUCUUAAACACACACACACACACACACACACACACACACACACAAACGUGUAAGCACAAAGUUCCUAUAUCCCAUUUGGUGACAACUGGCUGAAGCUAACAGAAAGUUUCAGUUUCAUAGUGGUGUGUACUCACUAGUUUUCUGGAUUCCUCACCCCUACUCUUUUCCCCACACUGAAAUUCAAGGACAGUUGUCAAUUCUUAUAAGGCUAGUGUCCUUGCUUUUCUUAUACCUCUUUAUAUAUCUUACUUUCCUGGCCCCUACAGGCUUUCGAGGUUGUCACCAACUUGUAAGGACACCAAAAAGCAUUUGAGCUUCAUAUUAAUGAUAGGCAAGAACAAAAAGCCCAUCCUUCAGGAAGAACAGAGUAUUUCCUACCUUCUCUCUGCUUUCGUGGUAUGCUGUGGAUAGACUCAGACAGUCAAGAGAUAUGGAAUCGGAAUUGAAGUUGGCACUAUUACCGAGAUUUUCAGAGAGAUGAUUUAUUGCAGACCAAUUUUGAUUUCUCUAAACCUGGAGAGGACGUAGGUCAUGCAUUGCAAUGCCCAGGUGUGUGUGCGAUCAACAUUUGCCGACAAGCAGAUGUAAUUUACAGGCAGAGAAGAUGCCAGCUGAGGUGGUGGAGAACUGAGUAGAGGAAAUACAAUGGAGUAGAAGGCUAGCAUGAGGGAGGGAGGGAGAGAGAGGUACGGAAAGAGGGGAGAUUUUAAGAGGUGUGUGGUUAGAGCUCCUCAAACCCUUAUGCUUUACUCGGAUGCUUGGCCCUUUCUAGCGAUGCAUCCAGCAGCUUCUGAUGAAAUGGACCAUGACAUGUUUUUCUUGGCUCUUCCUUUUAUCUCUCCCUGGAAUGGUUCUUUCUCUGCAAACCUUCAAUUCAUCUGAUUCUCUCUUACAUUUCAACUCCUCGUUCAGGAGGCUCAUUUUACCACUAAACUUUCUGUUGCCCUUUAGAAAAGGAAAGAAUUUCUCCCUUUAUGCCACAAAGACCUUGAGUAGGUUUCCUUCAUUAUUAGACUUAUGACAUCGCUUUGAAAGUAUGUGCUCCAUCUUCCCUACAGAGUAUGAAUUCUUGGGAAGGUGCCCAUGUUUUACUUAACUCUGUAUCGCUGUUUCCCAGCUUGGUGUAAUAAAUAUUUGUUAAAUACAUGAAUAAAUACA
rnacentral:lncRNA from 1 species